CUUGGUCAUUUAGAGGAAGUAAAAGUCGUAACAAGGUCUCCGUUGGUGAACCAGCGGAGGGAUCAUUACAGAGUUAUCUAACUCCCAAACCCAUGUGAACUUACCUUUGUUGCCUCGGCAGAAGCUACCCUGUAGCGACUGCCGGUGGACUACUAAACUCUUGUUAUUUUUAAGUAAUCUGAGCGUCUUAUUUUAAUAAGUCAAAACUUUCAACAACGGAUCUCUUGGUUCUGGCAUCGAUGAAGAACGCAGCGAAAUGCGAUAAGUAAUGUGAAUUGCAGAAUUCAGUGAAUCAUCGAAUCUUUGAACGCACAUUGCGCCCAUUAGUAUUCUAGUGGGCAUGCCUGUUCGAGCGUCAUUUCAACCCUUAAGCCUAGCUUAGUAUUGGGAAUUGGCUUGUCAUGAGCCAUUCUUCAAAUUCAACGGCGGAUUUAUAGCAAUCUCUGAACGUAGUAAUCUUAUUCUCGUUUUUGCGAUACUAUAAACCUCAGCCGCUAAACCCCCAAUUUUUUUUUGGUUGACCUCGGAUCAGGUAGGAAUACCCGCUGAACUUAAGCAUAUCAAUAAGCGGAGGA
rnacentral:rRNA from 1 species